rnacentral:rRNA from 1 species
ACGUACACUCCUGCGGGAGGCAGCAGUGGGGAAUAUUGCACAAUGGGCGCAAGCCUGAUGCAGCCAUGCCGCGUGUAUGAAGAAGGCCUUCGGGUUGUAAAGUACUUUCAGCGGGGAGGAAGGCGAUAAGGUUAAUAACCUUGUCGAUUGACGUUACCCGCAGAAGAAGCACCGGCUAACUCCGUGCCAGCAGCCGCGGUAAUACGGAGGGUGCAAGCGUUAAUCGGAAUUACUGGGCGUAAAGCGCACGCAGGCGGUCUGUCAAGUCGGAUGUGAAAUCCCCGGGCUCAACCUGGGAACUGCAUUCGAAACUGGCAGGCUAGAGUCUUGUAGAGGGGGGUAGAAUUCCAGGUGUAGCGGUGAAAUGCGUAGAGAUCUGGAGGAAUACCGGUGGCGAAGGCGGCCCCCUGGACAAAGACUGACGCUCAGGUGCGAAAGCGUGGGGAGCAAACAGGAUUAGAUACCCUAGUAGUCCCAUG